AUGAGGAGAGUCCCCAAAUGAUGCGCAGCAUUAUUUCUUCAAAUGGGACCGACGACGUGCCGCCUACGCCAGAGGCGGAGGGGGCGACACCAUAA
rnacentral:sRNA from 1 species